UCCUUAAUCUAGUAAACUACACUGCUCC
rnacentral:sRNA from 1 species